UACGAAGGGGACUAGCGUUGUUCGGAAUCACUGGGCGUAAAGCGCACGUAGGCGGAUGUGUCAGUCAGGGGUGAAAUCCCGGGGCUCAACCUCGGAACUGCCUUUGAUACAGCACGUCUCGAGUCCGGAAGAGGUGGGUGGAAUUCCUAGUGUAGAGGUGAAAUUCGUAGAUAGUCGCAAGAACACCAGUGGCGAAGGCGGCUCACUGGCCCGGUACUGACGCUGAGGUGCGAAAGCGUGGGGAGCAAACAGG
rnacentral:rRNA from 1 species